rnacentral:rRNA from 1 species
GUGGGGAAUUUUGGACAAUGGGCGCAAGCCUGAUCCAGCCAUGCCGCGUGAGUGAAGAAGGCCUUCGGGUUGUAAAGCUCUUUCGGCCGGGAAGAAAUCGCUUGGGUCAAUACCCUGAGUGGAUGACGGUACCGGAAUAAGAAGCACCGGCUAACUACGUGCCAGCAGCCGCGGUAAUACGUAGGGUGCGAGCGUUAAUCGGAAUUACUGGGCGUAAAGCGUGCGCAGGCGGUUGUGCAAGACAGGCGUGAAAUCCCCGGGCUUAACCUGGGAACUGCGCUUGUGACUGCACGGCUAGAGUACGGCAGAGGGGGGUGGAAUUCCACGUGUAGCAGUGAAAUGCGUAGAGAUGUGGAGGAACACCGAUGGCGAAGGCAGCCCCCUGGGCCAGUACUGACGCUCAUGCACGAAAGCGUGGGGAGCAAACAGGAUUAGAUACCCUAGUAGUCC